UCUUCCGAAAUGCCUUCACAGAAAUCCAGAAAAAUGCAUUUCCUACCAAGAGGCUUGGGCAGUUUUGAAAUUGAAGUGGGAGCCCAUCUGAGAAGUUUCUCAAGACAA